rnacentral:rRNA from 1 species
AGAGUUUGAUCAUGGCUCAGGAUGAAUGCUGGCGGCGUGCCUAACACAUGCAAGUCGAGCGGCAGCGAGGGGUGCUUGCACCCUGUCGGCGAGCGGCGAACGGCUGAGUAACGCGUAGGAAUUUGCCCCAAAGUGAGGAAUAACUGCCCGAAAGGGUAGCUAAUGCCGCAUAUGGUCUUCGGAUUAAAGGAUUUAUCCGCUUUGGGAGAAGCCUGCGUUGGAUUAGGUUGUUGGUAGGGUAAUGGCCUACCAAGCCGACGAUCCAUAGCUGGUCUGAGAGGAUGAUCAGCCAGACUGGAACUGAGACACGGUCCAGACUCCUACGGGAGGCAGCAGUGAGGAAUCUUCCACAAUGGGCGAAAGCCUGAUGGAGCAACGCCGCGUGAAGGAUGAAGGCCUUCGGGUUGUAAACUUCUUUUAUGAGUGAAGAAUAUGACGGUAACUCAUGAAUAAGCACCGGCUAACUACGUGCCAGCAGCCGCGGUCAUACGUAGGGUGCAAGCAUUAUCCGGAGUGACUGGGCGUAAAGAGUUGCGUAGGCGGUUUAAUAAGUGAAUAGUGAAACCUGGUGGCUCAACCAUACAGACUAUUAUUCAAACUGUUAAACUCGAGAAUGGUAGAGGUAACUGGAAUUUCUUGUGUAGGAGUGAAAUCCGUAGAUAUAAGAAGGAACACCAAUGGCGUAGGCAGGUUACUGGGCCAUUUCUGACGCUAAGGCACGAAAGCGUGGGGAGCGAACCGGAUUAGAUACCCCGGUAGUCCAA